CUUAGAGUGUCCCACCGCCAGGGGCCCCCGGCAGUCACCGACGGGAGUCCUCUGAGUGCCCGCCACUCUUCUGAACACUAGGGCAACUGGGGUGAACAGCUCCAGGACAGUUCCUGCUAACCCGGGGCUUAUACUCUCGCUGGGACACAUGUGACAGAGGAAGAAGUAAAGAAACAGAAGAGGAAAAAGAAGUUUCUACGCUCGAGCUGGGGUUAUAACCGAGGUUUCCAGCAUCCAGACAGGCAAAUGCCUGGACAGCUGCUCAGGGCAGAUGGGUCCUCUGACAGCUGAAUAUCAGAGUUUCUGGUGCCGCUGUGGACUGGGCAGCCAAGGCGACACCAUCUGUUUCCUAGUGGGCAGAAAAGCUCACGACCGGCAGGCAGCUGCUGCUGAGAAGGAGACACAACCCAGAGCGGAGCCAGCCGCCUUCAUCCCCUCUGCAGAGCAGCCUGGCCUGGCGAGCCGCUGGCCCCACCGCCAGAGAGAAGGUUCUACCCAACACGACCCCACAGGACGAGGAUGAGAGAGAGAAUUGAGCGAGAAAGAGAAAGAGAA